rnacentral:tRNA from 1 species
GCAGCGGUGGCGCAGUGGUAACGCGUGAGAUGUAAGGAUCCUCGACUUUUCAAUUCCCACGAACCAUUCACUAAUAAACUCCACAGUGCAACUCAGCAAUAUAUCUCAAGAUCCCGUGUUCGAACCACGGUCGCUGCU